rnacentral:rRNA from 1 species
AACGCACCUUGCGCCCCUUGGCUAUUCCGAGGGCAUGCCUGUUUGAGUAUCAUGAACACCUCAACUCUCAUGGUUCGCCGUGAUGAGCUUGGACUUUGGGGGUUUGCUGGCCCAUGGUUGGCUCCUCUUGAAUGAAUCAGCUAGCCAGUGUUUGGUGGCGUCACAAGUGUGAUAACUAUCUACUCUUGCGAUUGCCUGCCAGGUAACCUUCAGUGAUGGAGGUUUGCUGGGGCUCAUAGAUGUCUCUCCUCAGCGAGGACAGCUUUUUAAAGUUCGAUCUCAAAUCAGGUAGGACUACCCGCUGAACUUAA